rnacentral:rRNA from 1 species
GAGUAUGAUCCUGGCUCGGGACGAACACUGGCGCCGUGCCUAUUACAUGCAAGUCGAACGAACUCUGGUAUUGAUUGAUGCUUGCAUCAUGAUUUACAUUUGAGUGAGUGGCGAACUGGUGAGUAACACGUGGGAAACCUGCCCAGAAGCGGGGGAUAACACCUGGAAACAGAUGCUAAUACCGCAUAACAACUUGGACCGCAUGGUCCGAGUUUGAAAGAUGGCUUCGGCAUUCACUUUUGGAUGGUCCCGCGGCUAUUAGCUAGAUGGUGGGGUAACGGCUCACCAUGGCAAUGAUACGUAGCCGACCUGAGAGGGUAAUCGGCCACAUUGGGACUGAGACACGGCCCAAACUCCUACGGGAGGCAGCAGUAGGGAAUCUUCCACAAUGGACGAAAGUCUGAUGGAGCAACGCCGCGUGAGUGAAGAAGGGUUUCGGAUCGUAAAACUCUGUUGUUAAAGAAGAACAUAUCUCAGAGUAACUGGUCAGGUAUUGACGGUAUUG